CCUACGGGGGGCUGCAGUGGGGAAUAUUGGACAAUGGGGGGAACCCUGAUCCAGCCAUGCCGCGUGUGUGAAGAAGGCCCUCGGGUUGUAAAGCACUUUCAGUGAGGAAGAACGCCUGGUGGUUUAUACCCAUCAGGAAAGACAUCACUCACAGAAGAAGCACCGGCUAACUCCGUGCCAGCAGCCGCGGUAAUACGGAGGGUGCGAGCGUUAAUCGGAAUUACUGGGCGUAAAGCGCGCGUAGGUGGCUUGAUAAGCCGGUUGUGAAAGCCCCGGGCUCAACCUGGGAACGGCAUCCGGAACUGUCAAGCUAGAGUGCAGGAGAGGAAGGUAGAAUUCCCGGUGUAGCGGUGAAAUGCGUAGAGAUCGGGAGGAAUACCAGUGGCGAAGGCGGCCUUCUGGACUGACACUGACACUGAGGUGCGAAAGCGUGGGUAGCAAACAGGAUUAGAUACCCUGGUAGUC
rnacentral:rRNA from 1 species